GAUCCUCUGCCAUGUUCGUGAUGUCGGCGUAUUAUUCUGGUGAGCCGAUACGAGUUCCGCAGGGCGACCCGUUGCCCCUGGUGUGCGUGUAUAGCCGACCGAGAUCGGAUCACACAAACCCAAGGCCGGCUUGCCCACUUGAAAUCGCGGGCUCUCUUGAAUCGCGCCGCCACGGCAUUGCGGUGGAGGAUUU
rnacentral:other from 1 species